rnacentral:rRNA from 1 species
GAUGAACGCUAGCGGCAGGCCUAACACAUGCAAGUCGAGGGGUAACAGGGUAGCAAUAUCGCUGACGACCGGCGCACGGGUGAGUAACGCGUAUGUAACCUUCCUUUAACUGGGGCAUAGCCCGGAGAAAUUCGGAUUAAUACCCCAUAACAUUGCGAAGAGGCAUCUUUUUGCAGUUAAAGCUCCGGCGGUUAAAGAUGGGCAUGCGUGCCGUUAGCUUGUUGGUGAGGUAACGGCUCACCAAGGCUACGAUGGUUAGGGGGUCUGAGAGGAUGAUCCCCCACACUGGUACUGAGACACGGACCAGACUCCUACGGGAGGCAGCAGUGAGGAAUAUUGGGCAAUGGGCGCAAGCCUGACCCAGCCAUGCCGCGUGAAGGAUGAAUGCCCUAUGGGUUGUAAACUUCUUUUGUACGGGACGAAUCUCUCGAACGUGUUCGGGACUGACUGUACCGUACGAAUAAGCAUCGGCUAACUCCGUGCCAGCCGCCGCCGUAAUAC